UGGGGAAUAUUGCACAAUGGGCGCAAGCCUGAUGCAGCAACGCCGCGUGAGUGACGAAGGCCUUCGGGUCGUAAAGCUCUGUCCUUUGGGAAGAAUACAGUGACGGUACCAAAGGAGGAAGCCCCGGCUAACUACGUGCCAGCAGCCGCGGUAAUACGUAGGGGGCAAGCGUUAUCCGGAAUCACUGGGCGUAAAGGGUGCGUAGGCGGUCUGUCAAGUCAGAAGUGAAAGGCAAUGGCUUAACCAUUGUAAGCUUUUGAAACUGACGGACUUGAGUGCAGGAGAGGUAAGUGGAAUUCCUGGUGUAGCGGUGAAAUGCGUAGAUAUCAGGAGGAACACCAGUGGCGAAGGCGACUUACUGGACUGUAACUGACGCUGAGGCACGAAAGCGUGGGGAGCG
rnacentral:rRNA from 1 species